CGGGGUGUGGCCUAGCGGCUAAGGCGCAUGCAUGGGGUGCAUGAGAUCGGAGGUUCAAAUCCUCUCACCCCGACCA
rnacentral:tRNA from 1 species